ensembl:lncRNA
UGCAUGUGGCACCUUGGUGACAAGUCAGUCCCCUCUGUAGUCUCUGUACCAGCUGCCAGCGGCACAAGCUGUGUCUGCCGGGACAUCUCCCGUGAGAAGGGAGGUGAGAUGGGCUGCAAAGAUGCUGCAUGACUCUGGGUUCUGGCACACUCACACCUCAGCCCUGCUGCAAAAGCCUGGCCCCAGAAGCAAUCUGUUAACACAAUCACAGGAAGGUAUCGUCCCUCUAACAGAGAAAAGCUGUCUGCAAGGUAAAGCAUCCGUGACCUUGUGUGUCCUUCCUCUCCUCUUCCCUUCCUCACCCUGGAGAAGGUUUGUCCUCCCUCAUUGCCAGGACAAGGACAGCAGAGCGUGGCUGCAGGUUUUGCUGGAGGCAGGGAUAUGGGGUUGGCAGAUCUAGGAGGUGCCCAUCCUUUCCUCCUGCCUUUGCUCUGAUGAACUCUAUGCUGAUGCUUCUAUGGAGCAAAACACCAAAACUGAUGACAGCAGAGGGCUUGUCCAGGAGCUGCAAUGGUGAGCUUGCUUUCAGAGGGCAGAGAGUAGCUGUCCUAAGUCAAAGUCAGAACAAAAAGCUGCAGGAGGUUUGCUACUCUCCCAGCCCAUAGUACAAGCUGAGCUGGCUCCCCUGGCCCCAGGCUGAGCUGUUAUCCCCAACCUGAGCCAGGACCUCCUGCUCUUCCCUUGCCAUGUUUCCCCGUGCCGUGAUCAUCUUCUGCAGCCUUGACACCCUGAAUGCUUGAAACAGCUCCAACCCCAAAUCCAGGAGCAAAAGGCACUGAAUUGAGAUCCAAGUCUCGGUUUUGCUGGUCCCAGCAGAGUGGUGUAAAAUACGAAUGUAUGCUGCCACGCUGUGGCCAGAGCAGGGUUUGGAGCCGGGUGUGAGGCCAGGUUUGUGUCAUUGCCUGGGGACUUUGUCACCUGGAGGUGAAAGCAGGACAGGAAAGGAAAAAGGGCAGCCCAUGUUCCACCUCUGUGGGUUGUGCCUUAAUCCCAGGGCAGGCAAUGGGACAGGGGAGCUGGGUCCCUUUGCUGUCUGUGGAAGACAGCCCUAGAGCUGUGAACAUAGAACAAGCCUGGUCCUAACCCCCAGUCCUGUGGCUGCAGAAGCAGAGCUAAAGAAGAAAAAUCAAACUCAUCCCCUUCUUUUGGGAGAUUUGAUUGUGGCUCUAGAUUUUGUGCUCUGGUUCUCCUUUCAGUAGAAGGAGUGAUGCAACCUGAAGAGGAAGUAGUGCCCAAAGAAAUGCCCUUGUCUUCAUCUUCUUCCCAGCUCAUCCUGUGCUGCUGGCAGUUAGUUUUCUCCUGUCCUGCCUUCUGCCUGUAUUGCCUCCCAUCUGACAGACAUAUUGCUGCUGGAGUCUGUGUCUGAGAUGAACUGACUUGCUUUCCCUGCACCCUGAAGCUUCCUACCUCCAUCUCCCCCUUCCACCCAAGCUGUCAGUGAAAGCAGUGGGGAAGCACAGUGGAGAAGGGAAUGGGGCAUGUGCCUUGCCUUCGGCGGGAUCUGCACAGGGGCCUUUGUCACAGACAGCCAGAGCCCCCUCAAGUUCAACAGGCAUCGGGUAGGUGAGUCCUUCAGAGCCCUUUGGAAGGGAAAUGCUGUUUCAGGGGCAGCCUCUUUGCCUGGCCCUGGAGAAGAAACACCCUCCCUGCCAUGAAGGUCCGUGACUGCAGUUCAUAUGUCCCCCAGGGCUCUGGGCUGCCUCUCUGCUCCCUCUGCUUGAGAUGGACCAUUUGCUCCUCACAAGCUGUACCACUGGGAAUUUUGAUUCACUGGUAUUUGUUGACUCAGUCUCAGACGUCUCAACUUCUCCUCCAUCCUCUCACCCGCAGGGGCUUUGCACUCCCCUCGUGCUUCAUUUUCUCCUACAGCAAAGGAGAAAAUCAACUUGGGGAUCUGCUUUAUCAUUCCGCAAAUACGGCUCUUCCACCAGUUGUCUAGACUCUGCUCGUCUUGGUGUGACAUUUCUGAUGUGUGGCUGUAGCUACAAUAGCUCUGGCAUGGAUAAGCAGCAGAGAGCGAGAUGGGGUCAGCCACAGAGUAGUGCUGUGAGCUGCUCCAGGUGUCAUGGAUGAGGGGUUGUGCCUCCUGGGCACUUGGUUCACAGAUCUGUCACCUCCGGGUGCCUGCUGCCCAUCCAGGCUCCUGCAUAGCCCUACACGGUUCCUGAGGUGGGGGGUGCUGGGCCUGAUGACACCCAGCCUGAUCCAGUGCCCGAGUUCCUCUCCUGGAGGAUGUCCACCACCAGCACUGCCUGUUUUGAGCAGCUCUGCUCCAUUUUUGCUCCCCACAUAUUAAACAUAAAGAGGGUCUUCUCUAAACAGGAGAUGUGAUUUUCAAGACACCAUGAAGUGAGGGGUUUUUUUGACAAAGAUUUUAAUUCAUAAGUCCUUCAAAUGUCCACAGAAAGUUAUUACCUGAGCUUGAAAACUCAUGGGAAAUGAUUCUCAGUUUUUCCAACCUGCUGUGUCCACUAGCAGGGAAAAAUAAGUUGUUCAUUCAGUGCAAGGAUGUCUACUGCCUGCGUUGUUGAUGACUUCAAAGGUUUCAUCUCCCCAGAAGGACUGCCUGGGAGUUUGUUGUUGUUCUGUUUAUGAGAUUCAGCAGGAAAAUAAUGAGACUUCUGCCCUCAGAAGCACACUCACGAAGAUGACUCCACGAUCGUUGCUGGGUGGGCCUGAGAUCAUUGAACUUACAGGAACUGAGCCAGUCAUGUCCAUACUGGCCAGAGAAACGGGUCUGGGCUGUCCAUGCUCCCUGUGCCAUCCUGUGCCUACACAUCCCAGGGGCGAGCAGGGGACUCUCUUUACUCCCAGAGCAGUGUGAGCCAAUGUGUCCGUGCAACACAACUUGCAGUUGCGUCCUGAAUGAUUGCACCCAUGCAGAAGAGGAGAUGGGAAGAGAUAAGAGCUGCUUGAACCUGUGCCCAGCCUGACUGCGAUUACUCCGUUUGCUCCUUUACUGUUAGUAUGCGAUGCCUCUCACCCCAUUCCAGGCUGUAUCCCGUGCUCCCUUUACCACUUCCCUCUGGAGAUCCCUCCUUUCUCAGCCCUGCCUGCCCAGCCAAAGGUGCAGUGAGCUGCUUGGCAAGGGUGAGUCCUGGGAAUGGCGACAGACUUGCAGUGCCUUGUGCUGGGAAGAGACUGCUGUACCCGCGCUGCCCUCCUGUUCCUGCUCUCUCCAGAGAUGCUCCUUAUCCAGAGAGACUUGAGGCUGAGAGGAACAGUGACUUCAAUUGACAAGUGAAAUUCUUGAUGGGCAAACUGCCCCCGGGAUGACUGAGAGCAAACCUACAGCCCUGCUCUGCAUUUAAUCUCCCAGUGAUGGGGUUUGAUAGGGAUAUGGAGGCAGUGCAAGGUGUGGGUGAAAACUGGACACCAGCUUCUGCAAGCAACACGGGUCUGUGAACACCUACCACGUACUGGAGACCAUGGUUUUAUUAAGCUGGCAGCAGGAGGAGAGUGUGUGUUUGUGGUUGAAGCCUCAUGGACUUGCAGCAAGCCCAAGCCAAAGCUGCUGCCUCCCAACUUAUGACCACUGAAGCUGUUCACUCCUCUGAUUCAUACCUGUGGGGGAGCUGCAGAGAGUUCCCAGUGCUUUUUGGAAGGAGAAUUUUUAUGCUCAAAACUAGAUUUUGUUCCUGUUUUCACUGGGGACAAGCUCUCAGCUUCAGAAUUGCUCUGAUAACUUUGCAAUCGCUUUGAUAGUUCCAGAGGGGAGCACAGUCCCUUUACAGAACAGAUGGAGACACAUUUUCAGGACCAUUCCACUUUGCUGUAACUCUGGUUUUGGUAUAAUGAUUUCUUCUGCUGUAACAGGAGGGACAAAUUUGGCCAGUGCUGAAUGCUCUUGAAAACUGUAUUCCUGAACUUGGAUCCGAGUCCUCCCAGAUACAAAACACCUUCCACACGCUUCGGUGGCACUGGGGAUUUCAGCAGCUUGCAGGAUCAGGCUUUCACAGCAGCAGCAGUUUCAUGGUGGCAGUGAUUUUGUGUGUGUCAAUCUGCACUUGCCUGCAAUGCAUGACUCUAGUGAUCCAUUUGAAAUCUCCCCUCAACAGGGAGAUCUGAGCUCUAGCUUCUUCCAUAUGGCUGUGUGUAUUUAGUAGGAAAUCAGGGGAGUGGGAGAAAGCUAAUGAGAUUGCUGCUUUAAAGCACUUGGUUCCACAAGUAAAACACACCUUACCAGAGGCCAACAUCGGCUUGCUUUUAGCAUGGGUAACUCAUGAAAUAUUUAAUCAUUGUGAUGCAGAUACACCUUUUUCCUGCUGUGCCAGGAAUGAAGUAGACUAGAAAGGCUUGGCCUCCACCCCUACAGAUGUUUGGCUGUGAUGGAAGUUUGAACCAUUGAAAUCACAGGGGAAAAUAACAGCCAAGCAAACAAAACCCAAUAGAUUGUGAGUCCACAGCGGAGCGGCCACAGCUUGUUCAGCAGUGGGAGCACCUCACUGUGAGGGCUGCUGCUUUCCUGCCUUAUCCAUCUUCCUACCUGGCCAGAUUUCAGGGAGAGAGGACGGAGGAAGCACUUCAAAAGCAAGGCAUUCGAACCAGUGAGUCUUGCCCCAAGCAUCCCUCAUUGGGCAGGAGCCCACAGGCCAAGGCUUUGCAGCUACUCCUUGCUACCAUGGCGGGGAAGUGGGUGAAUAACACUGGGCAAAGCAUUUUAUUUCCAUGACUAUUCUUAAUACUUAAAAAAUUUAAAGGCUAAAUACUGAAAGAGAUGGUGUAAAAGAGCAACAGAUUUGGGGCUUCUUUUUGAUGCUUUGUUUUCAUGUGUCGGUUUCGGGUAGGGAAAGCCAACAAAAAGUGUAUCAGAUUGUUUUGGAUUCAAUCACAUAUUUUGUUCUCACAAGAAUUGCUAACAGAGGUUUAAAGAUUUUCCAAGGGCAACAAAACUGCCUUAAUACAUAUUCAGCUUCAACAAGAGACAUUAAUGCUACUUGCUUCUGAGCCUGCUUUAUUCUCUUUCUCUCUGUGUGAUUGUGGCAUGGAAUCAUGUCUUGACAAAAUACGUUUUACAAUACUCGACAGGAUGUCCGCAAACAGAAGAUGGUGUUUCAGCAUCUCCCCGUGCACAGCAUUGAAGUGAUGGCUUUGAAGCCAGUGAAAUUCAAUGCCCAGUUUCUGCUUUGCUAGAAUUCUACACAAUAGGCAAAUGUCCACAAUUCCUAAGGUUAAACGUGCUCUGCUGCCUUGAGAUGCCUUCAAAAAGCCCUGGGAUUCAUAUGCUGAAAAGAGCUUGAGAAUAGAUUCCCUGGUCUGCAGCACCAUCCCCAGCUCUUCCAGAGUGUGCACAAUUCCUCAGGCAGCAGAUGAACAGAGGAAAAUGACUUUCAGCCAGGACUCGUUGCUUUUUAGAUUGCAUGCAGUUAGAAACAUGAGUUCUGCCAGCCACCCAGGGAAUGUGAUAUUCAGUGCCAAUUCAUCUUUGUAAUAGGAACAGGGACGUAGUCCCUCGAUUCCCUUAGGCACCUUUGAAAAGCAUAAGCCUCAAAGGUUGGUUUGGAUUAGUUUUUCUCCUGGUGGCCUUUUUCCCUCAUGCCAUGAUGAGAAAGGGGACUGGUCUGUGAAGGGUGGCAGCUUUGGGGCAGGCACCUCCCCAACUUUCCAUGGCAGAGGUUUCCUAAACCUCUUCUCAACGUCUUCAGAUGUGGGUAAAUUCUGCUGUGCUAGAAGGGACUCCAACCUCUCGCUGCUCUCUGGUCCUCCUGCUCCUCCCUCCCCUCCUCAUGUCACUGUGCCUUCAUUUGGUUUAUCAAAUGAUGCCAUGAUUUAACACUGGCACGUUGUCUUUACUCUCACUUCGCAUCCCAUAAGACAGGUAUGUGUGGAGGUGGGGUGUGUAGCUUAUUUUGUAGCUUUUCAUGUGAUCCUGAGGUAGGUUUCUUCUGAAGAGUAAAGGGGUGAGGACAGUGGGAGGAGGGAUGGAUGAGCUGGUGUUGUAUUUGAUCAUACCAGUGCUUUAAGUGGUUUCAAACAUGGUUUUCCCCUACCUCUGAGCUCUCAAUGCUGCUAAAAUCUCUGCCAUUCGUACAAUGUACUCCAGCCCCCUCUCUCGGACUGACUCUGGCUCUGUUUGCAAGAUAUCCACAUUGUUCUAAAGCAUGCACCUCUUUCUGUAUAGUUCCGAUCUUCUGAUUUUAUGGAAUACUUAUGCCUGUUUGCAUUACAGUCAAAAUAAAAAAGUGAACUAAAA